UACGGAGGGUGCAAGCGUUAUCCGGAUUCACUGGGUUUAAAGGGUUCGUAGGUGGCCAACUAAGUCAGACGUGAAAUCCCUCAGCUUAACUGGGGAACUGCGUCUGAGACUGGAUGGCUUGAGUGCAGGAGAGGAACGCGGAAUUCCAGGUGUAGCGGUGAAAUGCGUAGAUAUCUGGAGGAACACCGGUGGCGAAGGCGGCGUUCUGGACUGCAACUGACACUGAUGAACGAAAGCCAGGGGAGCAAACGGG
rnacentral:rRNA from 1 species